CAGGACAUAGUUUAAUGAGAAUGUUGGCUUUGGGGGCCAUAGGUGGAGGAAGUCCUUCUGUCCUGA
rnacentral:tRNA from 1 species